rnacentral:rRNA from 1 species
UAGGACUACCCGCUGAACUUAAGCAUAUCAAUAAGCGGAGGAAAAGAAACUAACAAGGAUUCCCCUAGUAACGGCGAGUGAAGCGGGAUGAGCUCAAAUUUAAAAUCUGGCGGUCUCAGAUCGUCCGAGUUGUAGUCUAGAGAAGCGUUUUCCGUGCUGGCCUGUGUACAAGUCCGUUGGAACACGGCGUCAUAGAGGGUGAGAAUCCCGUCCUUGACAUGGACCCCCGGUGCUUUGUGAUACAUUUUCAACGAGUCGAGUUGUUUGGGAAUGCAGCUCAAAAUGGGUGGUAAAUUCCAUCUAAAGCUAAAUAUUGGCGAGAAACCGAUAGCGAACAAGUACCGUGAGGGAAAGAUGAAAAGCACUUUGGAAAGAGAGUUAAACAGUACGUGAAAUUGUUGAAAGGGAAACGAUUGAAGUCAGUCAU